rnacentral:rRNA from 1 species
GACGAACGCUGGCGGCGUGCUUAACACAUGCAAGUCGAACGGAAAGGCCCUGCUAUUGUGGGGUGCUCGAGUGGCGAACGGGUGAGUAACACGUGAGUAACCUGCCCUUGACUUUGGGAUAACUUCAGGAAACUGGGGCUAAUACCGGAUAGGAGCUCCUGCUGCAUGGUGGGGGUUGGAAAGUUUCGGCGGUUGGGGAUGGACUCGCGGCUUAUCAGCUUGUUGGUGGGGUAGUGGCUUGCCAAGGCUUUGACGGGUAGCCCGCCUGAGAGGGUGACCGGCCACAUUGGUACUGCGAUACGGCCCAGACUGCUACGGGGGACAGUAGUGGGGAGUAUUGCACAAUGGGCGGACGCCUGAUGCAGCAACGCCGCGUUCGUGAUGACGGCCUUCGGGUUGUGAACCGCUUUCGCCUGUUACGAAGCGUUAGUGACGGUAAUGGGUGAAGAAGCACCGGCUAACUACGUG